rnacentral:rRNA from 1 species
CAAGUCGAACGCGAAAGUCCCGCAAGGGAUCAGUAGAGUGGCAAACGGGUGAGUAACGCGUGGGCGACCUACCUUCGAGUGGGGGAUAACCUUCCGAAAGGAGGGCUAAUACCGCAUAACAUUCCGAGUUUGGACACUCGGGUAUCAAAGCCGGGGAUCGCAAGACCUGGCGCUUGAAGAGGGGCCUGCGUCCGAUUAGCUAGUUGGUGGGGUAAUGGCUCACCAAGGCUUCGAUCGGUAUCCGGCCUGAGAGGGCGGACGGACACACUGGGACUGAGACACGGCCCAGACUCCUACGGGAGGCAGCAGUGGGGAAUUGUUCGCAAUGGGCGCAAGCCUGACGACGCAACGCCGCGUGGAGGAUGAAGACCUUCGGGUCGUAAACUCCUUUCGACCGAGAUGAAUUCCUGCCGGCUGAAUACGCUGGCAGUUUGACAGUAUCGAGGGAAGCAGCCCCGGCUAACUCCGUGCCAGCAGCCGCGGUAAUACGGGGGGGGCAAGCGUUGUUCGGAAUUACUGGGCGUAAAGGGUUUGUAGGUGGCCCGCUAAGUCACACGUGAAAUCCCUCAGCUUAACUGGGGAACUGCGUGUGAGACUGUCAGGCUCGAGGGCAGGAGAGGAACGCGGAAUUCCAGGUGUAGCGGUGAAAUGCGUAGAUAUCUGGAGGAACACCGGUGGCGAAGGCGGCGUUCUGGACUGUCUCUGACACUGAAGAACGAAAGCCAGGGGAGCAAACGGGAUUAGAUACCCCGGUAGUCCUGGCCCUAAACGAUGAAUGCUUGGUGUGACGGGUAUCGAUCCCUGUCGUGCCGCAGUUAACGCGUUAAGCAUUCC